rnacentral:rRNA from 1 species
UACGGAGGGUGCGAGCGUUGUCCGGAUUUACUGGGCGUAAAGGGCGCGUAGGCGGCCUUCUAAGUCGAACGUGAAAUCCCUGGGCUCAACCCAGGAACUGCGUCCGAUACUGGAAGGCUUGAAUCCGGGAGAGGGAUGCGGAAUUCCAGGUGUAGCGGUGAAAUGCGUAGAUAUCUGGAGGAACACCGGUGGCGAAGGCGGCAUCCUGGACCGGCAUUGACGCUGAGGCGCGAAAGCCAGGGGAGCAAACGGG